rnacentral:lncRNA from 1 species
UUUUACAUCUACAUAGCACUUUACACGUCCUUUAUUGUGCAUGAAAGAAAGAAAAAUCUGAUGUCAACAGACUGUGGAUAUCUUCUCUUCUUACAGAAAGUGAUCCAUCACGCUGUAAUGAGAGAGACGCUCAAGGCAAGAGGACCCACAGCCAGCAAGACUGAAACAAAAAGCAAAGGAGGUGCCCGUUCUGGAGGCGCGGCGUCUGGACGAACUAAUUGAGUUGUGGCGGUCCCCAAAAUGAAAAGAAUUUUUGUUAGAUUAUUGCUAUUCCUUAGCACCCACUAUAUGCCGGAUACAUACCACAGGAGGCCAGUUCAUAGCUUUGUCUCAUUUAAUCCUCUGAACAACUCUUCAAGGUAAGAGAUUACUUCUACUUUUUCCAGCUAAGGAAACAGAAACUUAAGGGUGUAACUAAGGUGUCGUGGGCAGAAACUGG